AUCAGACACGGUGUCAGCCGCCGCGGUAAUACGUAGGGUGCAAGCGUUAAUCGGAAUUACUGGGCGUAAAGCGUGCGCAGGCGGUUAUAUAAGACAGAUGUGAAAUCCCCCGGGCUCAAACCCUGGGGAACUGCAUUUGUGACUGUAUAGCUAGAGUACGGUAGAGGGGGAUGGAAUUCCGCGUGUAGCAGUGAAAUGCGUAGAUAUGCGGAGGAACACCGAUGGCGAAGGCAAUCCCCUGGACCUGUACUGACGACUCAUGCACGAAAGCGUGGGGAGCAAACAGGAUUAGAUAACCCCUGGUAGUCCCACGCCCCUAAACGAUGGUCAACUUGGUUGUUGGGUCUUCACUGACUCAGUAACGAAGC
rnacentral:rRNA from 1 species